rnacentral:rRNA from 1 species
UACAGAGGUCCCAAGCGUUGUUCGGAUUCAUUGGGCGUAAAGGGUGCGUAGGCGGCGUGGUAAGUCGGGUGUGAAAUCUCGGAGCUUAACUCCGAAACUGCAUUCGAUACUGCCGUGCUUGAGGACUGGAGAGGAGACUGGAAUUUACGGUGUAGCGGUGAAAUGCGUAGAUAUCGGAAGGAAGACCAGUGGCGAAGGCGGGUCUCUGGACAGUUCCUGACGCUGAGGCACGAAGGCCAGGGGAGCAAACGGG